rnacentral:rRNA from 1 species
UACGGAAGGGGCAAGCGUUGUUCGGAAUCAUUGGGCGUAAAGGGCGCGUAGGUGGUUCUGUAUGUCUACUGUGAAAGCGUACGGCUCAACCGUAUUUUGUCGGUAGAAACUGCAGGACUUGAGGCUGGGAGGGGCUGGUGGAAUUCCCUGUGUAGCGGUGAAAUGCGUAGAGAUGGGGGAGAACACUCGUGGCGAAGGCGGCCAGCUAGACCAGUUCUGACACUGAGGCGCGACAGCGUGGGGAGCAAACAGG